UGCUCGAGUGGCGAACGGGUGAGUAACACGUGAGUAACCUGCCCUUGACUUUGGGACAACUUCAGGAAACUGGGGCUAAUACCGGAUAGGAGCUCCUGCUGCAUGGUGGGGGUUGGAAAGUUUCGGCGGUUGGGGAUGGACUCGCGGCUUAUCAGCUUGUUGGUGGGGUAGUGGCUUACCAAGGCUUUGACGGGUAGCCGGCCUGAGAGGGUGACCGGCCACAUUGGGACUGAGAUACGGCCCAG
rnacentral:rRNA from 1 species